AGUGAACGCUGGCGGUAGGCCUAACACAUGCAAGUCGAACGGCAGCACAGGAGAGCUUGCUCUCUGGGUGGCGAGUGGCGGACGGGUGAGGAAUACAUCGGAAUCUACCUUUUCGUGGGGGAUAACGUAGGGAAACUUACGCUAAUACCGCAUACGACCUACGGGUGAAAGUGGGGGACCGCAAGGCCUCACGCGAUUAGAUGAGCCGAUGUCCGAUUAGCUAGUUGGCGGGGUAAUGGCCCACCAAGGCGACGAUCGGUAGCUGGUCUGAGAGGAUGAUCAGGCCAACUGGAACUGAGAACCGGUCCCGACUCCUACGGGGAGGCGCAGUGGGGAAUAUUGGGCAAUGGGCUCAAGCCUGAUCCAGCCAUACCGCGUGGGUUAAGAAAGCCUUCGGGUUGUAAAGCCCUUUUGUUGGGAAAGAAAUCCUGUCGAUUAAUACUCGGUGGGGAUGACGGUACCCAAAGAAUAAGCACCGGCUAACUUCGUG
rnacentral:rRNA from 1 species